GUGUUGGAUGCAUCCAAAACCAAAAUGGUGUUGGAUGCAUCCAACACCAUUUUGGUUUCAGAUGCAUCCAACACC